CACCCACCCAGGCCUCACGCCACGCGUUCUGCUGCCCACUGGAGCUUCGCGCGCCGGAGCUCUUCCGCUUGGUUCAGGGACACUCCUCCGUCCAGGUGCCCGCAUGCAGGGAUGGCUCCUCGCCAACUAUCAUUCCACCGUCACCCCAGGUUCGGUUUGCCUCCAAACGCCGGCUCAUCUCUGGUUAACCCCAUCUUCCCUUCUCCCCCACUACAACAUCCACUCCGUCAGCAACGCGGCAAACUACCUCCUCUCGGUGCAUCCGGAUCGCCUCCGUGUCGUGUGCGUGCGUCCUUGGGUGUUCAGGGUCUUAGUCGCCAGUCAAAAUAUUGCGAAUGUAAUUGUGACUCGGGGUCCUCUUGUUCUUGCGUCGUCUGUGCUCAUUCCGCACCACUCUCUGGCUUCUGCGGUGCGCGCCGUUGCCCGCCUCACAGAGUCGUCCGAGGUUGAAGAUGAUGUGAUCAAUGCAGCCCAACCACCACCCCGCCCUGUGGUCGCGUCGUCACUGCCGACCAUCCCGUCCACUGUGCCCGGUCACUGCAAAAAAUCGAGGGAUACGAUUCUGUCUGACUCCGCCGCGGGCUCUGACAGUGGUGGAAUUACACGUCUUGUCUCACCUGCCCCCCCUUUGCUGCCUCUCCCCGUCCCGGCUGUCGCUCGCCUUGCGACUGUCGCGCCCCCUCAAAGCUGUAAAUCCUUUUUAAACGCUGUGCUCUCGCCCGCCAAAGCUCCUCCUCGCCAACCCCGCCAAAACCUCCGCCUACCACCCGCCACCUCCAGCUGCUUUCGCUGCCUUGCUGCGGACCACCAGGUUCGCGAUUGUCGCGAUCCUGUUCGCUGUCGUGGUUGCGGUCGCGUCGGUCAUCGACGCUCCGGCUGCCCGAUGCCGAUCGCCCGGGUGCUAACCCCCCACCCUCGCCGCCGUUCUCCCAUCCCAGCCGCCCGUCGGGUGCCCGUGCCUGCUCCCCCCUACCCUGAGGACUCCUCGCUCUCGCCGGGCGUGUCCGCCCCCACCGAACCAUCGACGCUCG
rnacentral:misc_RNA from 1 species